CCUACGGGAGGCUGCAGUGAGGAAUAUUGGUCAAUGGGCGCGAGCCUGAACCAGCCAAGCAGCGUGAAGGAUGACUGCCCUACGGGUUGUAAACUUCUUUUAUACGGGAAUAAAGUCAGGCACGCGUGCCUUUCUGUAAGUACUUUAUGAAUAAGGAUCGGCUAACUCCGUGCCAGCAGCCGCGGUAAUACGGAGGAUCCGAGCGUUAUCCGGAUUUAUUGGGUUUAAAGGGAGCGUAGACGGGUUGUUAAGUCAGUUGUGAAAGUUUGAGGCUCAACCGUAAAAUUGCAAUUGAUACUGGCAGCCUUGAGUACAGUUGAGGUAGGCGGAAUUCGUGGUGUAGCGGUGAAAUGCUUAGAUAUCACGAAGAACUCCGAUUGCGAAGGCAGCCUACUAAACUGCCACUGACAUUGAUGCUCGAAAGUGUGGGUAUCAAACAGGAUUAGAUACCCUUGUAGUC
rnacentral:rRNA from 1 species